rnacentral:rRNA from 1 species
AUUGAACGCUGGCGGCAUGCUUUACACAUGCAAGUCGAACGGCAGCACGGACUUCGGUCUGGUGGCGAGUGGCGAACGGGUGAGUAAUACAUCGGAACGUACCGCGUAGUGGGGGACAACAAGUCGAAAGAUUUGCUAAUACCGCAUACACUCUGAGGAGAAAAGCAGGGGACCUUCGGGCCUUGUGCUAUGCGAGCGGCCGAUGGCUGAUCAGCUAGUUGGUGGGGUAAAGGCCUACCAAGGCAACGAUCAGUAGCGGGUCUUAGAGGACGAUCCGCCACACUGGAACUGAGACACGGUCCAGACUCCUACGGGAGGCAGCAGUGGGAAAUCUUGGACAAUGGGCGCAAGCCUGAUCCAGCAAUGCCGCGUGCGUGAAGAAGGCCUUCGGGUUGUAAAGCGCUUUUGUCAGGGAGCAAAGACUGAUGGCUAAUAUCCAUCGGAGUUGAGAGUGCCUGAAGAAUAAGGACCGGCUAACUACGUGCCAGCCGCCGCGGUAAAAC